rnacentral:rRNA from 1 species
AUUGGACAAUGGGGGCAACCCUGAUCCAGCCAUGCCGCGUGUGUGAAGAAGGCCUUCGGGUUGUAAAGCACUUUAAGUAGGGAGGAAGGCCCUGUAGUUAAUACCUGCAGGGAUUGACGUUACCUACAGAAUAAGCACCGGCUAACUCCGUGCCAGCAGCCGCGGUAAUACGGAGGGUGCAAGCGUUAAUUGGAAUUACUGGGCGUAAAGCGCGCGUAGGCGGUUAAAUAAGUCAGAUGUGAAAGCCCCGGGCUCAACCUGGGAACUGCAUUUGAAACUGUUUAGCUAGAGUGUGGUAGAGGAGAGUGGAAUUUCAGGUGUAGCGGUGAAAUGCGUAGAUAUCUGAAGGAACAUCAGUGGCGAAGGCGGCUCUCUGGACCAACACUGACGCUGAGGUGCGAAAGCGUGGGUAGCAAACGGGAUUAGAUACCCCGGUAGUCCACGCCGUAAACGAUGUCAACUAACCGUUGGGCGGGUUUCCGCUUAGUGGUGCAGCUAACGCAAUAAGUUGACCGCCUGGGGAGUACGGCCGCAAGGCUAAAACUCAAAUGAAUUGACGGGGGCCCGCACAAGCGGUGGAGCAUGUGGUUUAAUUCGAUGCAACGCGAAGAACCUUACCUACCCUUGACAUACAGAGAACUUUCUAGAGAUAGAUUGGUGCCUUCGGGAACUCUGAUACAGGUGCUGCAUGGCUGUCGUCAGCUCGUGUCGUGAGAUGUUGGGUUAAGUCCCGUAACGAGCGCAACCCUUAUCCUUAGUUGCCAGCACUUCGGGUGGGAACUCUAGGGAGACUGCCGGUGACAAACCGGAGGAAGGUGGGGAUGACGUCAGGUCAUCAUGGCCCUUACGGCCAGGGCUACACACGUGCUACAAUGGCGCGCACAGAGGGCUGCAAACUCGCGAGAGUAAGCCAAUCUCUUAAAACGCGUCGUAGUCCGGAUCGCAGUCUGCAACUCGACUGCGUGAAGUCGGAAUCGCUAGUAAUCGCGAAUCAGAAUGUCGCGGUGAAUACGUUCCCGGGCCUUGUACACACCGCCCGUCACACCAUGGGAGUGGAUUGCACCAGAAGUGGUUAGUCUAACCGUAAGGGGGACGAUCACCACGGUGUGGUUCAUGACUGGGGUGAAGUCGUAACAAGGUAACCGUA